rnacentral:rRNA from 1 species
GUUUGAUCAUGGCUCAGAACGAACGCUGGCGGCAGGCCUAACACAUGCAAGUCGAGCGAACCCUUCGGGGUUAGCGGCGGACGGGUUAGUAACGCGUGGGAAUAUACCCUUUGGUACGGAAUAGCCUCGGGAAACUGAGAGUAAUACCGUAUGUGCCCUUCGGGGGAAAGAUUUAUCGCCAAAGGAUUAGCCCGCGUUGGAUUAGGUAGUUGGUGGGGUAAUGGCCUACCAAGCCUACGAUCCAUAGCUGGUUUGAGAGGAUGAUCAGCAACACGUGGGACUGAGACACGGCCCAGACUCCUACGGGAGGCAGCAGUGGGGAAUCUUAGACAAUGGGCGCAAGCCUGAUCUAGCCAUGCCGCGUGGACGAUGAAGGCCUUAGGGUUGUAAAGUCCUUUCAGAUGGGAAGAUAAUGACGGUACCAUCAGAAGAAGCCCCGGCUAACUCCGUG